CAUUUUUUAAUUUUUCUUUUAUACAAGUGUAAGCCCAGUUGAAAACCCAAAAAGACCAAAGCCCAGAGAAAUAGAACAGCAGCAACCCAUCCCUGUAACUGUAAGGCGAGGAAGACACGUGCAACUGCAACAAGCAUCACAAUACACACCAUCCCAAAAAGUGGAAGAGCCUCUUCCCAACUGCCGAAACAUUUCUUUGUAAUCUUGUUGCCUUUCGUUCGUCGUUGAUCCUUCGUUCUGCCCUCACCUUCUCAGCCUUGUAUAAAUGUAGGUAGAGCGAGCGACACCUGAGUUUCUUCUACACAGUUCUUUUAUAAGUAAGAAGUAGGAAAAUGAUGUUCUUGAUGGGUUUGAGCAUCCAGAGCCUGUUGGAUUUGGCGGUGGCAGGGAUUUCUCUGAUGAUCGUUUUGGGAAUUUUUGCGUUUAUUACUUCUAUUCUUUGCUCUGCUGCUUUCUUGCAAACCGCCAAGGACGUAUCUUGAUCCUUCACUCAAGGUAAAAUUUCCAAUUCAGAUUUCGUCAGCUACAUCAAUCUUGUUCUGGGUCCUUCAAUUAUGCUGUUAACUUCAUCAAGAUGAAAUCUUUGGCUUGUUUGUCUUCCAAUUGGCAAAUUUGACGCAUUUUUCCUUUCAAAACUGUAGCUCCUACUAUGAAGUAUUUUUGUUGGAUUCAAUAAAAUUCUCCUCUCUUUUUUUUUUUUGGGUCAGAUCAUUCUCUCCUCUUUUGUCUGGUUGAAUUUCCCCUUGUGUAUUUGUGUAUAUUAUACCCUGAGGCAGCUGACACAAGUUACAUGAUUUCAUAGUUUUCUGCAACAACAACAACUAAUGAUUUUCACAUAUUCCGCAAUCUCAGAAACUCCAUCAGUAGAAUCAUGAGCCAAAUUGCCUGUUUACAAAAAUUCAAAAACUACACAAGGCUGUCUUCUUCAGGAGGAAGAAGAUAUACAACAGUCCAGAAAAAAAGCACAGAAUUUCUGUAAUGGCCUGUGCUUUGCUGCUUAUCUUUACCAUUAAUAUUUACCAAACAAAAGAAAUCUUACAAUUAACCUAUCAAAUGAAUAUUUAUCAACCAAAACAAACAGUGAAUAUUUAUGUCUUCCUUUUGGGUUUUCUGGAGUACACCAUGCCCCGGAUCCCAUCCGGAUCCGCCACAAAGCCCAAGGGCCUGUAAAACCCGAGAACCCGGGGCUCCGAAUACAAAGCAAUAUUACAAAUCCCUUUCGCCACCAGCUCCUCCACCAACCUCUCCAUCACCGCCUUCCCCAGCCCCAGCCCCUGAAACGAGGGGUCCACCACCACGUCCCAUAUGAUCGCGUUGAAGACGCCGUCCCCUGUCGCCCUAGCGAACGCCACAGGCCUCUUCGUUUUCCUGUACUCCAUCCACAGCAGCGCGUCAGUGUGCUCCAGCGCCGUUCGGAUCUUAUCCGGGUCCCGCUUCGGAAACCCGACCGCUACGAAGACCUUGUUGAGGUGGUCCAGGUUGAGCUCCGCGAUCGUGCGGUGGAGGAGGAAGCCUCGGGAGUCCAGGUCUUGGUCGGAGAUUGAGUAGUUGUUGGUGGUUGUUGAAGUGCGCCGCGAAACGGGGACGUUUAAAGGGGGAGUGGAGGUGGUGGUGCUUCUGAGGCGGAGACAAGAGAGGGGAGCGGAGAUUGUGCCACGUAGGAGCAUGUUUUAGAAGAUAUGAGAUGAUAAGCUGAUAGCAGUUGUGUCCCAUGAGUGACGCCACCAUUGGGUUUUUGUAUGGAUGCGUUGUACGGUGUUUGAGUGUUGGAAUUGU
rnacentral:lncRNA from 1 species